UGCUCAGCGCAGCUGUGCCCCUGGGAGGAGGACUCCUAGCUGGGGAGUGAGGGGGGGACUCACCAGGCCUCCCCCAAUCCCCAGGAGGCCUUACUCCCCCCUCCCCUCCCCUCAUCCCAGAGCCUGUGGUCCGUCACUCAUGACUGUGAAGAGGGGUGUGGUGUGCGGGGUAAUCAUGAAGGCAGCCCCACUCCCACCCGGUGUCUGACCGAGAAGGGGCUCGGCACACUGCACCCCUCCUUCAGCCGCCCGAUUUCAAGACGCCAAAGUGCCAUGGCCUAUGAUUCUCCUGUGGAACUCUGCAGGUUUAGACCCUAAAAAGUGCCUUUUCCUGUGACCCCCUCCCCACAUCAGCCACCUGUGCCUUUCCCCAGACUGCCCUGGCCACAGGGCAGGCGGGCACCUCCUCUCUGAGCAGAAUCGUGUCUGCGGGGUUCUGGGACGGGGGGAGCAUGAAGCAUGAGGAAAACUUGAAUUCCAGAUUUUUAGUGCAAAGUAUUUAUCGUUUCUACCAGAAAUUAAACGUUUCCAUUUCUACUUGACCAGCCUGGCUGAUGCUGCCCCAGGUGUUGAACCAGUGGUGCGGUGGGGCGAGGAGGGGGAUGGGGUGUCACUGGGGUUACAGACAAACCCUGCACUAGGAAGAAGAGACAGACAGGUGAGCAAGCCAGACAGUGACAGGCAGUACAGAGUAUAUUCAGUCAAGAGAGACGACGAACAUUUCAGAACCAGACUUCAAGGCUUCAAACUCUGAGGGUCUGGCUUCUUAUUUGCUGUGUACUUUUGGUCAAGUUGCUCUGCCUCUCUGCCUCAGCUCUCUCAGCAGUAAAAACAGCUUAAUUGUGAGACGAUUUCUGCCAUGAAAGGAGCAGGCAUGUCCUCAUCUGUAACCCAGACCACCAGCCAGACUCCUUGAAGCCCCUCACUUCGAAAGUGCCCGCCUGUGCGAAGAGGCUGUCACUGUGCCGUGCUGGGCCGGACGCCGGAGGACGACCAAGAGGACGGACGGACCCCUGAAUUUAUUGCCCAAAGUGCCCUGGGUGCAAGGGGACGUGGGUGGAGGCUGAAGGGUGGUGAGAGUUUGGCAAGGUGGGGGGCUGUGCUUCAGGGGCUGGGAAGCCCUGGGGUCCCAGCUCCAGGAAGAGAGGACGAGGGAAGCCAGCCUUCUCACAGGCCUUGGAGCGGGGGCAGCCCCCCACUUUGCUCCCAGCACCCCAGAACAGGCUACGGCUGCCCUGAACCUGUGCAGGCUGGAGGGGGAAUGCAGCCAGGCUUGGCCAUGGCCAUUGUUAGGGGCCUGUGGGGAGACCUCCUCAGGCAGGCGUUCCUCUCUCUGAACGUGUUUGCAAAGACCAGAUUCAGCUGCACUGGGAGCGGCAGGGGGCGGGGGAGAAAGGAGGGGGUUGCUCCCCGGACUCUCCAACCUCCCCUCCUGCACAUAUGGCCUCGAGCCUAAGCCCUCAGCCCUCCUCCAGGUGAGGGAGGCAUUACUUGGAGAAGGCACCUCCCACCCUGUGUGUCUGCUUUUAUUUGUUAAUCCUACCUGAGGAUUUUUUCCAUUGAGUUUUAGAGAGAGUGGAAGAGAGAAGGAAAGACAGACAAACACCGAUGUGAGAGAGACACAUUGAUUGGGGCCGGGGAGGAGCCUGCAACCGAGGUACGUGCCCUUGACGAAUUGACCCUGGGAUUCUUCAGUCCACAGGCCAACGCUCUAUCCACAGAGCCACACCGGCCAGGCAGGACUGGUUAUCCUCUGGAGGUCUGGAGUCCGCAGAGCUGGGAACGCAGCCUGAAAGCAUUUAAAUCUCCCAACUAAAACAAACAAGUAAAACAUCUCAACUCAAGGCCUUCCCUACCGUCGCUACCGUCGUCCCGUCUGUCUCUGUUCCUUCCAGUGAGACUUCUGGCUGGAGCCCCCCACGGCCAGCGGUGCCCAGCCCUGGGAUCAGCAACAAGCCGCCUGUCACUGGACCUGGCGAGCUGGCCCGCCUGUCAGGGCCGCCUGCCCUGCUGGGCGCCGUGUUUGUGCUCCUUAUGCCCACCCCCCUCCCAGGGGCAUCUCACGUAGAGGCCCUUCCUCUGAGCAGCCUUUCCCGAUGCCCGUGGCCUGUUAGCGGCGUCCGCACGUGAGGGACUCGCCUUGUCACUGGUCUGCGAGCUCCCUGGGGGCAGGGAGUGUCUGGUUGCCAUCCCUUCCCAGCUCCCCGCCCAAUGGCAGCUGCAGUGGGUCCUCAAUCCAGGCCCUGAGUGGCUGGAAGGACAAAUGCCACUGACAUCCUCCGUGUGGGGUACGCGGAUGCUGCAGAGAGGACCGGCAGCAGGGCGGACACCCCAGAAGGCCAGGUCUCCUUCCACUCGUCGCCUGGGCAGAGGCUGGCUGACCCCGCUGGGGUCCAGGGUAAAGUCUGGCCUUCGUUGGGGAGCAGGGACUAGAAGAACCAGCAGCAUUCUGAAGCUAAAGUUCAGUGUCUCCGUCUGCCCGGCACUGGGCCCUCUCCUGUGACC